UAGGCGGAAUGUUGCGUACGGAUGCACGGCGCUUACCCUACAGCCACGCACUGCUAAGUCAGCCACGAAUGGUUCUAUGCCGUUAACUCGGUGAGACUCCAUGGAGGGUGUUAGACCCGUGUGAGUGCGUGUUAGAAGCUGCUAUGGGCAUUGCUGUCAUCCUGAGAGUCGCGUUGUUUGAACAUGCAGCGCUAAGCAGGUCGUAGACUCGAUCUAAGGCUAAAUAUAUCCACAGAACCGAUAGUGAACAAGUACCGUGAGGGAAAGUUGAAAAGCACUCCGUAACGGAGAGUCAAAAGACCGU
rnacentral:rRNA from 1 species